GAGUUUGAUCGUGGCUCAGGACGAACGCUGGCGGCGUGCUUAACACAUGCAAGUCGAACGAGAAUCUACUGAAAGAGUUUUCGGACAAUGGAAGUAGAGGAAAGUGGCGGACGGGUGAGUAACGCGUGAGGAACCUGCCUUGAAGAGGGGGACAACAGUUGGAAACGACUGCUAAUACCGCAUGAUGCAUAAGGGUCGCAUGAUUCUUAUGCCAAAGAUUUAUCGCUUCAAGAUGGCCUCGCGUCUGAUUAGCUAGUUGGCGGGGUAACGGCCCACCAAGGCGACGAUCAGUAGCCGGACUGAGAGGUUGAACGGCCACAUUGGGACUGAGAUACGGCCCAGACUCCUACGGGAGGCAGCAGUGGGGAAUAUUGGGCAAUGGGCGCAAGCCUGACCCAGCAACGCCGCGUGAAGGAAGAAGGCUUUCGGUAUGUAAACUUCUAUCAGCAGGGAAGAAAAUGACGGUACCUGACUAAGAAGCCCGGCUAACUACGUGCCAGCAGCCGCCGU
rnacentral:rRNA from 1 species